GAUCAGCAAUGAAAAUAUCCAAAUCUGAGGAUCAGCCCUUCCAGUCUGCUUGAUGCCUGAUCUCUGUAGUUCUGAAA
ensembl:snoRNA